AAAUCGUGAGGCGGCGGCGGAGGGGCUGCAGUUGGUAUUGCGUGUUCUCUCAGCUGGGCGUCCUCAGGGCUCGUCCCGGGAUCUGCCGGCAGAAUGAGUCUGCAGAUUUUAAAUACAGAAAAUGGAGAAAAUGGAGGAAGCCUUAAGGAUGAUUUAGCAGCGGAAGACUGCGACUUUUUCUUUGCGCCACCGGAACCCACAGGGAGACCUUCUAUUCUCCGCCUGUCCCAGAAAGAAAACUUGCCGCCAAAAAGUGGGGGAAAAGCGAUGAAGGUAACCUUUCAAACUCCUCAAAGAGAUCCUCACACUAGAAAAAUCCUGAGUCCUGCUAUGACAGACAAACUUCAGACUGCUUUUGCACUUGACGACUGCCGUGAAGAUGCGGCAGAUGAUGUUUUAUUUGCACCCUCUGAUGCUGACACAUGUCAACAAAAGCCUGAAGCUGAAACAAGCAAUACACAAAUGCCAGAGAAGGUCAGCGUGGCUGCUUACCCAGAUGAUGAGAUGCCAGUGAAGAGUCGAGGUUCCUACAGUCUUGAUUUUGAUAACUUAAACGACAUCAAUCCUUUUCAAGGUUCAGUACAGUUGCCUCAUUCUCCUGGAAAUCUGCAAAAGUCUCCUGUAAAAGUAUCCAACAGCCCUGAGAAAACCAUUGAAAAAAGUAAUGAUUCUCUUCUGUGGGAUGAUGCAGCUCCUUUUGCUUCAACCACAGCAAGUACAGAGUGUUUAAGUGAAGACAAAGCUCUCAUCUCUGAAAAAGAAUCUGCACUGAGUGAGCUGGAGUCUAACAAAUCCAAGGUGUCACCUAAGCAAGUAGUUGGUGACUCUGAGCAGGGUGUGAAGUCUGCUUCCACAGAUGCAAGCCAAGCUGAUAAUUCAGUGGUAUUAGCAGAGAUACCUACACCUGCUGUGCAGUCACCUGGCAGCUUAGGGCCCAGUAGUUCUGAUGUGAGCAACUCUCUUAAAACUGGGGAAUCAAAACUUCAGAAUGUUUCAGUAGCAGAACAAGCCUCUGCACAAGUAUCAAAGCCUGAUGAAGAGCUGAGUGUCUCCAAAGAGAAACCUGCAGAAAAUCCUGAUGUCACCAAGGCUGGACCAGUAAAACUGGAAUUUGACUUUGAUAAUGCCACUGCUAGAAAACCACCUCCUAAGAAACUAGGUAAAAGACCUGGAAUUAAGCCACCUUCCAAAAAAAUUCCUAUUACCAAAACAAAACCAGAUAACAUUGAAGAGCAAAAUAAAAGUAAUGUGGAGGAUGAAAUCCCUGUUCCUAAAGCAUCUUAUCAGUUUGACUGGGACAAGCUUGAUGAUCCAAACUUUAAUCCAUUUGGAGGAGGCUCUAAAAUUUCCACCUCACCCAAGCGUUCUAAACCCAGCCCUCAGAAAGUUCGCCUGCCGGAGGAACAGGAGAGUGCCUCACCAAGAAGGGAACCUCUUCCAGUGGAGCAGGAUAACAGGCCAAGUACCUGUGAGACUCCUGAGAAAGAAGAACCCAAAAAUCUGGAAAUUGUUGAGCAGAGUGUGGUACAAGAUGUGCUAAAAGUUCAAGACGAGAAGCCAGGAGGUCAAGCAGAAACUGAAUUUCCAGGAAAAAGAGAAGUGGAGAAGCAAAUGAGCCCAUCUAAAAGAUCUCCAGCUAAGGUUGCUUCCUCUCAAGAUAAUUUGGUCUCUACUGACAGUGGAAAAAAGUCAAUCUCUGCAGAAGAAAUUAAACCUAGUUCCCCUGGAAUUGAAGGCACAGCAGAUGAGACAGCUGGUGCUGAACCUGAAGAGCUCUUCAGACCAUCAUCAGAAGUUUUUGGAAUGGGCAUAGACUAUCUGGAACAGUUUGGGUCUUCAUCAUUCAAAGAAUCAGCCUUGAGGAAACAGUCACUGUAUUUGAAGUUUGACCCUCUGUUGAGAGACAGUCCAAGAAAACCAGUUUAUGGUACUAUUGAAUUAAAUGAGAGUAUCAUCACAGCUUCAUCUCAGCCUGGGCCUGUUGUUGAUUUAAGUGCAGUGCCUGAGGAAGCUGGAAAGCCUCUAGUGAGUCUUGAGAGUGAAGAAAAACCAAAAGGACUAGAUCUUCUGGGGACUUUUACAACUUCUGCUGAUCCCCUAAUUCCAGACUCCCUGAGUAGUGAUGUUCCUCCAGUCCCUUUUGCUACUUCCACAAACACUGCAGUGGAUGCUAUUAUAGAUGUGCUAAAAUAUAGCCAAAAAGACAUGGAUGCAGCUGUUGAACUGGUGAAGAGAGAGGUUCAAGAGAAAGAGCUGGAGAUUGAGAAAUGGAAUCAGAAGUAUAAUAAGCUUCAUACGGAGUACAAAGAAAUGGGAAAAAUAGUUGCUGAAUUUGAACAGACAAUAACACAAAUUAUGGAGGAUGCUCAGAAGCAGAAGGAAGCCUCAAGGAAAGAAAUACAGAAGCUGAUGGAAGAGAAGCAGCAAGCUAUUUCAGAUCUGAACUCUAUGGAGAAGUCCUUCUCUGAAAUCUUCAAACGACUUGAGAAACAGAAAGAGGUGUUAGAGGGUUACCACAAAAAUGAAGAAGUUCUGAAGAAAUGUGCAGAAGAUUACUUGGCUAGAAUUAAAAAAGAGGAGCAGAGAUACCAGGCACUGAAAGCCCAUGCUGAAGAAAAGCUGCAGCAGGCCAAUGAGGAAAUUGCCCAGGUCCGCAGCAAAGCCAAGUCAGAGACUGCAGCACUGCAAGCCACUCUGCGCAAGGAGCAGAUGAGGAUCCAGUCUCUAGAGAGGAGCCUUGAACAAAAGGGUAUUCAGAAAUUGUCUCCCUUAGAGUCCCACAGAAACGUUCUCAGUGCGAUCUCUAUCAAGUGCUAUGAGUCUUGAUAAAUGGGAGAAGAGCCCAAGAGAAACUUUUCCUGCUGAGCUACAAAAGGGAUCGGUGAAUUUUAACUUUGGAGUCCUCUAUGCUAAGGAUGCUCAGCUUACAGAUGAUGAAAUGUUCAGUAAUGCUGAGUUUUUCACCUUCUCCUUAAUUUUUUGCUCAUCUGAAUAAAAAAAAAAAAACAACAAAAAAAAAAAAAACAAAAGCAAGAGAAAAACAAAAGAUGGUUUAUUAUUUUUUGCCCUGUUAUGUCUGUUUCCUAAGUAUUUGCUGGAGCUCUGCUUACCCAAACUUUGGGUAAAACAAGCUUUGGGCUCCUUCUGUCUCACUGGGAGUUGCCCAAUUCGGUUACAUCUGGUGAAAUUCACCCUGAGACCUUACAGAACCAGCUCCAACUACGUGAGAGCCAUUUGCAGUUCUCUCCAGACGCCUGGAGAAUGGGUGACGUUUCUGAGGAUCCGGCGAGCGUGCUUCUAUCAAAACUCAGUCUGUGAAAUUUCUGGGGAAAACCCUUCUGUGUCCUGAAGGGUUCAAACUCUGGCGAGGAUCCAGUUAUCAGGUGCUCACCUGGAUGGUUCCAGCUCCCAAAGCUAACACUAGUACUCUUGCCCUGUAGUUUACAUCUAUUGUAUUUUUGUUAUUUUGCAAGAUUUUUUGUCUUUGCAAAAUAUUGUGCAUUUCACUCUUUGGAACCUCUCAGAUGGUUCUUUGGUGCAGCACCACCCCAUGGGACACUUGGCUGCUGUCCUGAAGGGUUUGGUCGCUAGAAUUGUGAAUCCUGGAGAGUUUGUGAGUCUUCUGUCCCCAGGGAGGUGUCGUGCUUUGUUUACUUUUGUUCUGUUGGUUAGGCGCUGCUUCUCGUUGCAAGUAUGAAUUUCAAACUGCCCUGUUCUUAUUUUAACUGUUUUCCUGGUUCUCUCCGUCCGGCAGGGAAAGACUCUCGUAUCCUUGUCGUCGGGCUCGGUGCUGUCCAAGAAGAUACAGAGACUAAAAAAAUCAUAAGAAGCAAAAUACGACUGCAGGGAAAAGAAGCUGGAGAGAACAGAAGGGGCUGUUUCCAAAGUGACCUACAGACAUUGGAAUGAAAUCAUUAUUUACUGUGUAAAAGAAUCACUCUCCAAAGCAUCAGCCAGGGUCUAAAUGUGCCAUUCUGCCUUUUAAAAGUACCAACAUCACAGGAUUUUUCUCAGAUUAAAGCUUCCAUGGAGUCGGAUCUCUCAAGCCUGGCCCUUGAGAAUUGUGGGCCUCCUGUGAACUGGUCUUGCCAGAAGGGCUUGCUGAGUUUUCCAUUGUGUGGAAAAGAGAUCCCAUUUGGAGCCUGAAGCCUCGUGUUUCCUGUAGGAUUUCCACUCCUAGAAUUGCACACUUUGAAGGAUUUCUUAUAGCAGAAGUUUUUUGGGAACUAGGACUCUGGCUGGAUUUGGGUCUCUGGACUCUCAGGUGAAGUGACCUUGAGACACUAGGGCAUGCAGAUUUCCCUGCUGUUGAAAAGAGCUAUUGUUCGCACCCAGGAGCCAUGGUCUGAAUGGGGGUGUCACCUCUUAAAUUUGCAAAUGUCACAGGAUUUCUUCUAAAUGAAUGGUGCUAAGAACAUAAGGUCUGGCUGGCUUUUGACUUAGAGGCGCCUCCUCUAAAUUGGUCUUCAGACGCUAGGUUGGAAAGUGUUCCUACAUAUGCCAAAUAGCCCUUGCUAUGCAAUUAAUAAGCUUCAAAUUACCAUGGAGUUGCUGCCCCUGCAAAGAUUUUGGCAGAGCCUGGUUGUGGUGCCCCACUCCACUCCACCACCCUUAGCAGGUCCUUAUGGUUGCAUGGGGAAUCAUCGUGGAGCAUGCCAACCCAGCUCCAUCCUGGGAACAGCACCUGUAUUUUACCCUAAAAUUUCUGUCCCAUUAUAGCUCCUGUUAGGAUACAAAUGUAACUUCUCGGUUUCCACUGAUUUUACCCCCAGUCAUCUUUCCAUACAGACAUUGCUCCACUCCCCAGAGGAUUAUUGUGAGCAGAUGUGAGCUCUGCUGUCCCUUUGGACUGACAAAGACAGAGGUUUUGUCCCAAGUUGCUUUUGAACCUGUCCUGCACCUGUUACGAGUCCUCAGUCUCCUGCAAUUUUGUGGGUCAGUCACAUGUAAAACAGCACAGCUGGCUGGCAUGCUUUGCUCAUGAGGGGAGACAAGAGAAGAAUCCCUCUGCUCACACCAGACCUGCAGCUGCCAAACCUCACCAAAGCACCUGAGGAGCCCCCAGGGACUGAUGGUACAGAAGGGAGGUGAUGGAGGACAGCACAGCAGGCAGCCUGCCCUCCAUCUGGGUGUGAAGAAGGCAGGGCUGGGAACUGUAAGCAACAUCCCAGCAGGUCUGGCUGAUGGUGCCACCCUGAGGGCUUCCCCUGCCUUUGGGCAGUCCCAGCUGCUGCAGCUCACUUGACAGAGACUCAUUGUCUAUACUGUGCUUGGCUGCACUGGAGAUGAUGAAGCCGAGGACAGCAAUGGUUGCCUUCACAUCCCCUGACUGCAGAUGGGAAGGAGGGCAAGCUCUGUCACCUUGGGAAGGUGUCUGCAGAGUCACUGCUGCCCGUCUCUGGAGCGUGGCUCCAUUGGGGGACCGUGGUAAGGACAGCAGUGCUCACUUAACUGUGCACCUGAGGACAGCUUCAGGAUCUUGUCAUACUGUGGGAGAGCAGAGCUUCACAGUAAACACCAGCUAACACACUGACUGCCAGUGUUAACACUAACAGUUCUUACCUAAAUAUUAAUACUAGUAACACUUACUAUGCGUAUUAUUAAUCCUAGUAGAGGCUGGUAGCGUUCUUUAGGCUGAGGCUUGCAUGAAGAAUACAAAAUUAAUUAACGUU